rnacentral:tRNA from 1 species
GGGGGAGUACUUUAAAGAAAAAGAAUUAGUUUGCAUCUAAAUAAUAGGAUUUUUAUUCCUCUGCCCCA